AUUAAUAUCUUCAGUUCCCAUCAAAAAAUAAAAAGAAAAAUAGGGGGAAAAACUAUUCAGUCUUCGUAGUUCAAAUACAAAAAGACACACCACUUAACUGUUAUUUAUUCACAUCUCGCAAUCAAAGCACAAGGGGGCCAUUUCCAUUAGAAUUGCAAAUUUAUCUCUUCGGCUAUUCCAGAAAAAUGCUCAGCAAGUAAAUAUCGAAAAAUACCUUAUUAGAAACCAAAAUCGGAG
rnacentral:misc_RNA from 1 species